CAAAAAAAAAAAAAAAUUCAACCAAGCAUAUUAUCACUACUUCCCCAUUUCCCUUGCUGGACUACAAGCUCCCGAUGGCAGGAACUGGGAGAAGCUACUGUGUUUUCCAGAGCUUGGAACAUAAGCACUCCAUGAAUGCAUACUGCACAAAUCAGCUAAUCACCGGAAGCCAGAGUAUUUUGGCGCCCUGACAGACUUGGAUUAGGUGAUGUUGCUUCUCAGAUGCUGAGAAAGUGUCCUGAUGCCGCAGUUGAGUGCUGACCCAGAUUUGGAAGGAGAUGAAAGGACUUUAAAAUAUUCUAACAACCCACAUUCCAAGAUUCACAUCUAUCCCAAGGUUCCCUGGCUCCUAAAUGGCUCAUGCAAAUCUUGAAGGAGUCUCUACUUUUUGAGGAGGAAAACAGCUCUUUAAUCUGGACUCCACGAUGUUGUUGAAAACACGCUUGCAGUUACCUAUUGCUGAGUAACAAACUGUCCUAGAACUCAGAGACUGAGAACAAUGAUGAUGAUUUCUCAUGACUCUAUGGUUGGCUGAGCUCAGCUGGGCAGUUCUUCUGUUCCGUGUGGUGUAGGCUGAAGUCCCUCAUUGGAAGGUGAGAGAGCUGGGGCAUUUAUCCACCAACUUUUGUCAGUUACUAGUUGAGAGCUGCUCUCAGGGGCAUUCAUUCUGUGGCCUACAGGUGGCAAAGCAGGUCUCAACAGCAAACAAAAGACCCCAGUUUUGGCACUUGGGAAGCAGUCUGGUUUGCAGACUGUGAAGAGGUAAGGGCAAGGGGGCAUGGCUAGAAUUCCUGUGCAAUUAGUAAAAACCAGAUGGAAAAUGCAGCAUGGUUAUUGUGGCAGAGACU
rnacentral:lncRNA from 1 species